GACGAACGCUGGCGGCGUGCCUAAUACAUGCAAGUUGAGCGAUGAAGAUUGGUGCUUGCACCAAUUUGAAGAGCAGCGAACGGGUGAGUAACGCGUGGGGAAUCUGCCUUUGAGCGGGGGACAACAUUUGGAAACGAAUGCUAAUACCGCAUAACAACUUUAAACAUAAGUUUUAAGUUUGAAAGAUGCAAUUGCAUCACUCAAAGAUGAUCCCGCGUUGUAUUAGCUAGUUGGUGAGGUAAUGGCUCACCAAGGCGAUGAUACAUAGCCGACCUGAGAGGGUGAUCGGCCACAUUGGGACUGAGACACGGCCCAAACUCCUACGGGAGGCAGCAGUAGGGAAUCUUCGGCAAUGGACGAAAGUCUGACCGAGCAACGCCGCGUGAGUGAAGAAGGUUUUCGGAUCGUAAAACUCUGUUGGUAGAGAAGAACGUUGGUGAGAGUGGAAAGCUCAUCAAGUGACGGUAACUACCCAGAAAGGGACGGCUAACUACGUG
rnacentral:rRNA from 1 species